rnacentral:rRNA from 1 species
GAGAACCUCUCGCUUGCGGGAGGGAGUAAAGUGGCGAACGGGUGAGUAACGCGUGGGUAACCUGCCCUUGAAUCGGGGAUAACUCCGUGAAAACGGUGCUAAUACCGGAUAAUGUCCCGAGCUCUUUGGCGCUUGGGAUUAAAGGUGACCACUCCAUGGAAGUUGCCGUUUGGGGAGGGGCCCGCGUCCCAUUAGCUUGUUGGUGGGGUAAUGGCCUACCAAGACUACGAUGGGUAGCUGGUCUGAGAGGAUGAUCAGCCACACUGGCACUGAAACACGGGCCAGACUCCUACGGGAGGCAGCAGUGAGGAAUUUUGCGCAAUGGGGGAAACCCUGACGCAGCAACGCCGCGUGGGUGAAGAAGGCUUUCGGGUCGUAAAGCCCUGUCAGGUGGGAAGAAACUCUUCAGUACUAAUAAUGCUGAAGCCUGACGGUACCACCAGAGGAAGCACCGGCCAACUCCGUGCCAGCAGCCGCGGUAAUACGGAGGGUGCAAGCGUUGUUCGGAAUUAUUGGGCGUAAAGAGCGUGUAGGCGGUUCGGUCAGCCAGAUGUGAAAGCCCUGGGCUCAACCCAGGAAGUGCAUUUGAAACUACCAGACUUGAGUACGGGAGAGGAGGGGGGAAUUCCCGGUGUAGAGGUGAAAUUCGUAGAUAUCGGGAGGAAUACCGGUGGCGAAGGCGCCCCUCUGGACCGAUACUGACGCUGAGACGCGAAAGCGUGGGGAGCAAACAGGAUUAGAUACCCUGGUAGUCCACGCCGUAAACGAUGAGCACUAUGUGUAGCGGGUAUUGACCCCUGC